CUCAGGAUGAACGCUAGCGGGCAGGCUUAAUACAUGCAAGUCGUGGGGCAGCAUGAGUAGCAAUACUUGAUGGCGACCGGCAAAACGGGUGAGGAACACGUACACAACCUUCCUUCAAGCGGGGAAUAGCCCAGAGAAAUUUGGAUUAAUACCCCAUAAUAUAUUUGAUAAGGCAUCUUAUUAAUAUUAAAGCUUCGGCACUUGAUGAUGGGUGUGCGGCUGAUUAGAUAGUUGGCGGGGUAACGGCCCACCAAGUCUACGAUCAGUAGCUGAUGUGAGAGCAUGAUCAGCCACACGGGCACUGAGACACGGGCCCGACUCCUACGGGAGGCAGCAGUAAGGAAUAUUGGACAAUGGACGAAAGUCUGAUCCAGCCAUGCCGCGUGAAGGAUUAAGGUCCUCUGGAUUGUAAACUUCUUUUAUAUGGGACGAAAAAAGGGCAUUCUUGUUCACUUGACGGUACCAUAUGAAUAAGCACCGGCUAACUCCGUG
rnacentral:rRNA from 1 species